rnacentral:lncRNA from 1 species
AUGAUCAUUAGACUCAUGCGAUUCGAGCGUUCCCACUUCUCCAUCGCCCUCCUUUCUUCAGGAGAGGAUGUAUCCUCAAGAGAAGCAAGUUGCUCAAUCCGAAGAGCAAGGUCAAGAUCCAUGCAACCGAGAAAGAUCAUGACGUUCUCUUUCCAUUCCUUAAAGUUUGUGCCGUUAAGCACAGGGAUGCUAUUGAUNN